ACACACACUCCUCACAUGUGCAAACACUAAUUGCUUAACUGAUCACUAACCAAUCACUGCUUUACUGUAGUAUAGGCCUAUAAAUAGGUCAAAGGUCAGAUUACCGUACCUGUUUUGAACAAUGGAUGCCAACAAUGGACAGAGAGCAAGAGGAGUAGGAGGGAGAGGCAGGGGACAACAACGAGGACAAAUUCAAAGACGAAGAGUUGGAGGAGUAGGAGGAAGAGGAAGAGGAAGAAGAGGACGAGGGCAAAGAAGAGAAGGAAGGAGAGCCAUCUCUGAUGAGAUUAGGGCAACACUUGUUGAUCAUGUGAUCAACCACGGUUUGACCAUGAGAGAGGCUGGACUGAGAGUCCAGCCCAACUUGAGUCGAUUUACAGUGGCGUCCAUAAUUCGAAUCUUCAGAAAUGAGAACAGAGUGGAAAGGCAAAGACAUCAUGGAGGACGAGGAUGCUUGUUUACAGAUGUACAAGAGACUGCAAUUAUAAAUAUGGUUUUGGCCAACAAUGCAAUUAGGAUUUGAGAGAUAGAGCAUAUCUUGAAUAAUGACACCAUAUUUAACAACAUCAAUGCUGUAAGCCUGUCGACCAUACAACGCAUCCUCCAACGGCACCGAGUGACGAUGAAACAACUUUACAAGGUGCCAUUUGAGAGAAACUCUGACAGAGUCAAGAAUAUGCGACAUGACUUUGUAGCGAGAGUAUUGGAGCUGGAUGCCCAUGUAAUUCGCCAUGAAUUUAUUUAUGUGGAUGAGGUUGGCUUCAACCUCACCAAAACCAGGCGCCGCGGAAGAAAUGUAAUAGGACAGAGGGCAAUUACCAAUGUCCCUGGACAGCGUGGGGGUAAUAACUAUGUGUGCUGCCAUCACUCAAAACGGGGUCCUCCAUCACAAUGCCACACUGGGUCCGUACAACACCGGCCAUAUGCUCACUUUUCUGGAUGCAAUUUACACAAUGCUUGUCCUUGAUCCAGAUCAGGAGCCUGCUAGAUUUGUGGUUUUAUGGGACAAUGUUAGUUUUCACCGGGCUGUUCUGGUCCAAAACUGGUUUGCCACCCAUCCACAAUUUGUAGUUUUG
rnacentral:lncRNA from 1 species